AAACAAACGAAAGGAGGUGAUCCUGUGUCUCAUUGUCUCGCGCGCUCUCCUCGGAGUAGCGCCAUUCUGGCGGUCCGGGACAACAUUCUGGAUAACAUUUUCCGGAUUUCGUUCAGGCUGAUUUAGACGGCCUGCCAGAAUGAAGGCGGGGGACUUCGCACCCCCCGCC
rnacentral:sRNA from 1 species